rnacentral:lncRNA from 1 species
UGUCGCAGAAACAGCAAGCAGCUGGGAAUGGUUGCAAGUUCCAAGACGCAGCACUACAGACUGUUCCUUGUUGACUCUUGGGAUAACAUGAAUGCAUGGGAGCUAGAGCCCGCGUGCUGGACCAUUGAAAAGAUGAAAAUCCACAAUCAGGAAUGUGACAACUCCUUGAUUGUGCUGCUGUUCAAACCGCAGCUUCCAUUUCAAUCGGAACAAGAGAUCGUUUAUUCUGGAGCCAUUUUAAGCGACAAUGGCAUAAUUUUGCAUCAGACGUUUGAUGUGAGAGGUCUAUCUUUGAAGGGAAGUUAUAUUUAAGUCUAUGCCUGGAUCCACAUCUUCUAUAUGCCCAUCCGCAGUG